rnacentral:rRNA from 1 species
UACGUAGGGUGCAAGCGUUGUCCGGAAUUAUUGGGCGUAAAGAGCUCGUAGGCGGUUUGUCGCGUCGAAUGUGAAAACCCGGGGCUCAACCCCGGGCCUGCAUUCGAUACGGGCAGACUAGAGUUCGGUAGGGGAGUCUGGAAUUCCUGGUGUAGCGGUGAAAUGCGCAGAUAUCAGGAGGAACACCGGUGGCGAAGGCGGGACUCUGGGCCGAUACUGACGCUGAGACGCGAAAGCGUGGGGAGCGAACCGG